GCCUACUGGGGAUAGCUCAAUUGGCAGAGUGUGAGACUCAGGGUUGUGGGUUUGAGUCCCACAUGGGGCA